rnacentral:ncRNA from 2 species
UUGCAAUGAGGAAUGCUACGACCCUAAAUUAGUACUUGGGCGCUUUGAUUUAGGAUAGCUAAUAGCGCAACCGGCCACAUUGAGA